AUUGAACGCUGGCGGCAUGCUUUACACAUGCAAGUCGGACGAGUGGCGAACGGGUGAGUAACGCAUCGGAACGUACCGAGUAAUGGGGGAUCACUUUGAGACAGGACAGCAAAUACCGCAUAUUAUUCGAGCGGCCGAUGGCUGAUUAGCUGGUUGGAGGGGUAAAGGCCCACCAAGGCGACGCUCACUAGCGGGUCUGAGAGGAUGAUCCGCCACACUGGGACUGAGACACGGCCCAGACUCCUACGGGAGGCAGCAGUGGGGAAUUUUGGACAAUGGGCGCAAGCCUGAUCCAGCCAUGCCGCGUGUCUGAAGAAGGCCUUCGGGUUGUAAAGGACUUUUGUCAGGGAAGCGGUACCUGAAGAAUAAGCACCGGCUAACUACGUGCCAGCAGCCGCGGUAAUUC
rnacentral:rRNA from 1 species